GCGUGAAAAUAUUCACAUGCCCAAGUAGGUGUCUGUUCAAAGGCUUUUUUUUUUUUUUUUUGGUGAACAGAUGGAGAUAUCCUGGAUACUUAGCUCAGCGGGAUGUUUGAGAAUGAAUGUGAAUUCUUCCACAAGGAUGAGAGCAAACAGAUAACUUUAUUUUCAUGCACAACUGUGAUUAAAAUCUCAUUCCUUCAGCCAGGGAGGAAGGGAUAUGUCAGCAUGCAAAGGCUACAACCACUCCAUGAAGAUAUGAGGUGAUGGCAUAAAACAAUUCAAAGGUAUUCCACUGAGGCAGAUGAAUUUAAACAUGGCCACAGGCGUAAGAAGAUUUGGAACGCAUGUCCAUUAAACUCACAAAUAGCUUGCCAAAUGGAGCAAAUGGAAAAACCCUCUUCCUGACAACUAUAAAUGUUGCACAAAGAUUAAAAUAAUGAGAUUGAGCUGCUACAUUGACUGUAGCAGGGUUCUGAGUUCCCAUUUUUCCAUUCAUCUGUUUGUGCCAACACAUGCCUCUUUAUCACUGUCUGAGGAAAUUUAUAGUGAAAAAAAUUAAAAGUGGAUAACCUGGGUUAUGAAGUUAAAAGAGCUAGGUCAGUAGUAAAUAUUACAAAUUAAGAUAUGUUAGUUAGCCAUAUCUUUGCUUACGCUGUUGUGGACUUUCACUAGACAAAAAAAAUUGUGAUGCUGAAAAGCAUAUCUUGGUGGAGUAUUAUUUUAUCCAGGUAGAAAUGACGAAAUCACAUUUAAAACAGAAAACUUAACAUUUCAUUUAAAAUUUUUCAUUCAUUCAUUCUUUAGAAGUAAG
rnacentral:lncRNA from 1 species